rnacentral:rRNA from 1 species
GAAUGAUAGUCGGGCUGAAGACUCUACUUGACUAGCGAGGAGGAGGUGCAUGGCCGUCGUCAGUUCGUACUGUGAAGCAUCCUGUUAAGUCAGGCAACGAGCGAGACCCACGCCAACAGUUGCCAGCUCGUCCUCCGGGAUGGUGGGGACACUGUUGGGACCGCCUCUGCUAAAGAGGAGGAAGGAAUGGGCAACGGUAGGUCAGCAUGCCCCGAAUUAUCUGGGCUACACGCGGGCUACAAUGGGUGGGACAAUGGGUAUCGACACCGAAAGGUGAAGGCAAUCUCCUAAACCCAUCCGUAGUUCGGAUUGUGGGCUGCAACUCGCCCACAUGAAGCUGGAAUCUGUAGUAAUCGUGUCUCAAAAUGGCACGGUGAAUAUGUCCCUGCUCCUU